CAUGCAAGUCGAGGGGAAACGACAUCGAAAGCUUGCUUUUGAUGGGCGUCGACCGGCGCACGGGUGAGUAACGCGUAUCCAACCUGCCCACCACUUGGGGAUAACCUUGCGAAAGUAAGACUAAUACCCAAUGACGUCUCUAGAAGACAUCUGAAGGAGAUUAAAGAUUUAUCGGUGAUGGAUGGGGAUGCGUCUGAUUAGCUUGUUGGCGGGGUAACGGCCCACCAAGGCGACGAUCAGUAGGGGUUCUGAGAGGAAGGUCCCCCACAUUGGAACUGAGACACGGUCCAAACUCCUACGGGAGGCAGCAGUGAGGAAUAUUGGUCAAUGGACGAGAGUCUGAACCAGCCAAGUAGCGUGCAGGAUGACGGCCCUAUGGGUUGUAAACUGCUUUUAUAAGGGAAUAAAGUGAGUCUCGUGAGACUUUUUGCAUGUACCUUAUGAAUAAGGACCGGCUAAUUCCGUGCCAGCAGCCGCGGUAAUACGGAAGGUCCGGGCGUUAUCCGGAUUUAUUGGGUUUAAAGGGAGCGUAGGCCGGAGAUUAAGCGUGUUGUGAAAUGUAGACGCUCAACGUCUGCACUGCAGCGCGAACUGGUUUCCUUGAGUACGCACAAAGUGGGCGGAAUUCGUGGUGUAGCGGUGAAAUGCUUAGAUAUCACGAAGAACUCCGAUUGCGAAGGCAGCUCACUGGAGCGCAACUGACGCUGAAGCUCGAAAGUGCGGGUAUCGAACAGGAUUAGAUACCCUGGUAGUCCGCACGGUAAACGAUGGAUGCCCGCUGUUGGUCUGAAUAGGUCAGCGGCCAAGCGAAAGCAUUAAGCAUCCCACCUGGGGGGUACGCCGGCAACGGUGAAACUCAAAGGAAUUGACGGGGGCCCGCACAAGCGGAGGAACAUGUGGUUUAAUUCG
rnacentral:rRNA from 1 species